ACUAAAAUGCAAUCAAAAGGGGAUACAAAUAACAGGUAACUAAGCCCUAAUUCUCUUCUCUGUUUCUUAUCACUAACCCGUGAAGACGAAGAGAACUACACACUCACCUUCAAGCUUUUACAAUGCUUUAAAGUUUACACAAUGUAU
rnacentral:sRNA from 1 species